rnacentral:rRNA from 1 species
AACGAACGCUGGCGGCAUGCCUAACACAUGCAAGUCGAACGAGACCUUCGGGUCUAGUGGCGCACGGGUGCGUAACGCGUGGGAACCUGCCCUUAGGUUCGGAAUAACUCCCCGAAAGGGGUGCUAAUACCGGAUAAUGUCUUCGGACCAAAGAUUUAUCGCCUUUGGAUGGGCCCGCGUUGGAUUAGCUAGUUGGUAGGGUAAAAGCCUACCAAGGCGACGAUCCAUAGCUGGUCUGAGAGGAUGAUCAGCCACACUGGGACUGAGACACGGCCCAGACUCCCACGGGAGGGAGCAGGGGGGGAUAUUGGAAAAUGGGCGAAAGCCUGAUCCAGCAAUGCCGCGUGAGUGAUGAAGGCCUUAGGGUUGUAAAGCUCUUUUACCCGGGAUGAUAAUGACAGUACCGGGAGAAUAAGCUCCGGCUAACUCCGUG